rnacentral:rRNA from 1 species
GAUGAACGCUAGCUACAGGCUUAACACAUGCAAGUCGAGGGGCAGCGGGGAUCUAGCUUGCUAGAUUUGCCGGCGACCGGCGCACGGGUGAGUAACACGUAUCCAACCUGGCCCAUACUCGGGUAUAGCCUCUCGAAAGGGAGAUUAAUCCCCGAUGUUGUUGCGAUUCCGCAUGGUGUUGCAACCAAAGAAUUUCGGUAUGGGAUGGGGAUGCGUUCCAUUAGCUUGUUGGAGGGGUAACGGCCCACCAAGGCGACGAUGGAUAGGGGUUCUGAGAGGAAGGUCCCCCACACUGGAACUGAGACACGGUCCAGACUCCUACGGGAGGCAGCAGUGAGGAAUAUUGGUCAAUGGGGCGAGAGCCUGAACCAGCCAAGUAGCGUGAAGGAAGACUGCCCUACGGGUUGUAAACUUCUUUUGUUUGGGAAUAAAGUGCGUCACGUGU